rnacentral:rRNA from 1 species
UCCUGGUGUAGCGGUGAAAUGCGCAGAUAUCAGGAGGAACACCGGUGGCGAAGGCGGGUCUCUGGGCCGAUACUGACGCUGAGGAGCGAAAGCGUGGGGAGCAAACAGGAUUAGAUACCCUGGUAAGUCCACGCCGUAAACGUUVGGCGCUAGGUGUGGGAUCCCUUCCACGGGUUCCGUGCCGCAGCUAACGCAUUAAG